UACAGAGGUCUCGAGCGUUUGUUCGGAUUCAUUGGGCGUAAAGGGUGCGUAGGCGGCGGGGCAAGUCUGAUGUGAAAUCCCGGGGCUCAACCCCGGAACUGCAUUGGAUACUGCCUUGCUAGAGUACUGGAGAGGAGACUGGAAUUUACGGUGUAGCAGUGAAAUGCGUAGAGAUCGUAAGGAAGACCAAUGGCGAAGGCAAGUCUCUGGACAGUGACUGACGCUGAGGCACGAAGGCCAGGGGAGCAAACGGG
rnacentral:rRNA from 1 species